rnacentral:rRNA from 1 species
CGACUCUCGGCAACGGAUAUCUCGGCUCUCGCAUCGAUGAAGAACGUAGCGAAAUGCGAUACCUGGUGUGAAUUGCAGAAUCCCGCGAACCAUCGAGUCUUUGAACGCAAGUUGCGCCCGAGGCCUUCGGGCCGAGGGCACGCCUGCCUGGGCGUCACGCCAAA